GUGUCUUGUGCAAAUCUCCACACGUGUCCCGGCUAUACAAUAACACAUGCUUACAGCUCCACCGCCAAACAUUACUAUAGGUGGAAGUUGACACAAGUUUAUCAGAUUUUUUGGGUGGUGCUCUCGAUUGCUCCGGCUUGGCAUCUUUGUGAUGCAGAAGCCGAGUGGGUGUUCCAGUCUCUUCAAGCGGCAGAGGUUAGAUACAACAUGUCGUAGUUUCAGCUGACCGAUCAAAUGAACUUAGAUAACAGGUUAUGGAGAACUCGAAUUAGGUUAAAAGUAGUAGCAGUGAUCUAUAUGGGCAUUCUUCCCAGGAUUAUAUUCCUACUAUACUUGAGAAUUUCAAUGCUAAUGUGGAUAUGGAUGGAAGAAUUGUCGAUUUGGGAUUAUGAGACACUGCAGAUACUUUUUCUUUAAAUAGAUUUAUUACUCUUAUGAGAUAUUUCAAAGUUAAAUCCGCAGGAAAAUGGUAGCUUUUAUAAUGAGUGCAAGCCAUAAUCCUGGUGAUCCUAAAUAUGAUUGAGGUGUCAAGCUCUCUUUUCCUUUUCAUUAAAACACGAAGGGUUAUUAUCUACACAGAGAUACACAGAAAGAUGGGAUACGUGAUCCACUUAUUCAUACACAUUUCUUUGUAUUUCAUCUUUGCUCCUUCACAUACAUUUCAUGUAUCUAUAACCACUACGUCAACUAUUAUUGUUAGGCCCGUGCUGGCAUGGGCGCCACCUAUCUAGUCUUUAAAAUAAAACUUACACUAAUAAUGUAAGUCUAUU